UGGGGAAUUUUGGACAAUGGGCGAAAGCCUGAUCCAGCAAUGCCGCGUGUGUGAAGAAGGCCUUCGGGUUGUAAAGCACUUUUGUCCGGAAAGAAAUCCUUGGCUCUAAUACAGUCGGGGGAUGACGGUACCGGAAGAAUAAGCACCGGCUAACUACGUGCCAGCAGCCGCGGUAAUACGUAGGGUGCAAGCGUUAAUCGGAAUUACUGGGCGUAAAGCGUGCGCAGGCGGUUUGCUAAGACCGAUGUGAAAUCCCCGGGCUCAACCUGGGAACUGCAUUGGUGACUGGCAGGCUAGAGUAUGGCAGAGGGGGGUAGAAUUCCCACGUGUAGCAGUGAAAUGCGUAGAGAUGUGGAGGAAUACCGAUGGCGAAGGCAGCCCCCUGGGCCAAUACUGACGCUCAUGCACGAAAAGGCGUGGGGGAGCAAACAGGAUUAGAUACCCUGGUAGUCCACGCCCUAAACGAUGUCAACUAGUUGUUGGGGACUUCA
rnacentral:rRNA from 1 species